AAUGGGGUGACUGCGUACCUUUUGUAUAAUGGGUCAGCGACUUAUAUUCUGUAGCAAGGUUAACCGAAUAGGGGAGCCGAAGGGAAACCGAGUCUUAACUGGGCGUUAAGUUGCAGGGUAUAGACCCGAAACCCGGUGAUCUAGCCAUGGGCAGGUUGAAGGUUGGGUAACACUAACUGGAGGACCGAACCGACUAAUGUUGAAAAAUUAGCGGAUGACUUGUGGCUGGGGGUGAAAGGCCAAUCAAACCGGGAGAUAGCUGGUUCUCCCCGAAAGCUAUUUAGGUAGCGCCUCGUGAAUUCAUCUCCGGGGGUAGAGCACUGUUUCGGCAAGGGGGUCAUCCCGACUUACCAACCCGAUGCAAACUGCGAAUACCGGAGAAUGUUAUCACGGGAGACACACGGCGGGUGCUAACGUCCGUCGUGAAGAGGGAAACAACCCAGACCGCCAGCUAAGGUCCCAAAGUCAUGGUUAAGUGGGAAACGAUGUGGGAAGGCCCAGACAGCCAGGAUGUUGGCUUAGAAGCAGCCAUCAUUUAAAGAAAGCGUAAUAGCUCACUGGUCGAGUCGGCCUGCGCGGAAGAUGUAACGGGGCUAAACCAUG
rnacentral:rRNA from 1 species